UUCUCCUUAACAACUAAUAAGCAAUUUUUCUUUGCCAAGUCACACAGGAAAUGAUCCAAGCUAAUCUGCUAUCUUGACCCUGGACAAGUCUCUUCUUCUGCAGGAUGGGCACAGAAAGGCAGCAUCCUUUCAUGAGUCCCAUGAGACAACUGUGGAGGACCAAGAGCUAACAUCUUUAUCCAUCUUGAAGCCCGAUCGAUGGCCCGCCUGGCAGCUGGGGACCUCCUUUGUUGUAUCAUACCACCCUGUCUGUUGCUGAUAACACUCAACUAUCAGUUAUUUGUUUUGCUGUCACAUAAAAUCUGGACGGGGUCACCUGAGAGGCCACUGGAUCAAAGAGUUGUAUUGACUCAGCUAUGGCUUCCUAGAGUAAAGCUGUAUCUAUGAUCA